rnacentral:rRNA from 1 species
UACGGAGGGUGCAAGCGUUAUCCGGAUUCACUGGGUUUAAAGGGUGCGUAGGCGGCCUGACAAGUCUGAUGUGAAAUCCCUGGGCUCAACCCAGGGCCUGCAUCGGAAACUGUCGGGCUUGAGUAUGGGAGAGGUGAGUGGAAUUUCCGGUGUAGCGGUGAAAUGCGUAGAUAUCGGAAGGAACACCUGUGGCGAAAGCGGCUCACUGGACCAUUACUGACGCUGAGGCACGAAAGCUAGGGGAGCAAACAGG